rnacentral:rRNA from 1 species
GACGAACGCUGGCGGCGUGCUUAACACAUGCAAGUCGAACGAAGUGGCGCACGGGUGAGUAACGCGUAAUCAACCUGCCCUUCAGAGGGGGACAACAGUUGGAAACGACUGCUAAUACCGCAUACUGAAGGUGGGGAGUGCGUCGGAUUCGCUAGUUGGGGGGGUAACGGCCCACCAAGGCGAGGAUCAGUAGGCGGGCUGUGAGGAUGAACGGCCACAUUGGGACCGAGACACGGCCCAGAACCCUACGGGAGGCAGCAGGGGGGAAUCGUUCGCAAUGGACGAAAGUCUGAAGGAGCAACGCCGCGGGAGUGAUGACGGCCUUCGGGUUGUAAAGCUCUGUUAAUCGGGACGCGGUACCGGAAUAGAAAGCCACGGCUAACUACGUGCCAGCAGCCGCGGUAAUAC